rnacentral:snRNA from 1 species
GCACCCACUAGAGCUCGCUAAAGCUGGAAUGAUACACGGAAGAUCAGCAUGAUCUCUGGGAGAGGAUGGUGUGCAAAUUCACGAAGCGGCCCAUCGUUAG